GACGAACGCUGGCGGCGUGCUUAACACAUGCAAGUCGAACGGCGUGGCGCACGGGUGAGUAACACGUGGGUGAACUGCCUUGCACUUCGGGAUAAGCUUGGGAAACUGGGUCUAAUACCGGAUAGUGCAAGAUGAGCUCGCGGCCGAUCAGCUGGUUGGUGGGGUAAUGGCCUAGCAAGGCGUCGACGGGUAGCCGGGCUGAGAGGGGGGACGGGGACAAUGGGACUGCGAUACGGCCCAGACUCCUACGGGAGGCAGCAGUGGGGAAUAUGGCCCAAUGGGCGGAAGCGUGAUGCAGCGACGCUGGGUGGGGGAUGAAGGCCUUCGGGUUGUAAACUACGUUCGACAGGGACGCGGUACCUGUAUAAGAAGCACCGGCUAACUACGUGCCAGCAGCCGCGGUAAUAC
rnacentral:rRNA from 1 species